rnacentral:lncRNA from 1 species
AGAAAGAGAAGUACUUCGUUUCCAGAGAGAGAAGACCGCUGUACAUACUUUGUUUCCAGACCAAGGGGACAACAGCGGACUGCCGGACGCCGGAGGCCGAAGGGUGCGAUUCAAGGGCCGAUGGAUGCGAUUCAGGCGCUAGAAGGUGCGAUUCAAGGGCCGAUGGGUGCGAUUCAGCCGACGAAGGGUGCGAUUCAAGCGAUGGAGUGGUCGAUUCAAGCGAUGGAGGGUCCGAUUCAGGCAGUGGAGAGUGCGAUUCAAGCACGUUGCUCCACAGACCCUUAAGGUAUAAAUCUGAUAUUGAAAUUUCUAAUAAACAAAUUUUUUUCGGGGUCUGAAUUCGGGGCGGGGAUCCCCGGUCCCCAUUAGGGGCGGGAAUGGGGGUAUAACUAAAUCCCCGUCGGGGAUCGGGGUUAAAAAAAAUUCGGGGAUCGGGGAAGGGGAUACCAACCUCCGGCCCCACCCCGCCUCAUUGCCAUCCCUAGCAUAGAGAGAAAGGAGAGAGAAUAUAUGAAAGAAAGAGAGUUAGAGAGAGGGGACACGGACAGAGGAAAAGAAAGAAAGAAAUGGGUGAUAAAGAUAAAUUAUAUAGUGUGGUUAGCAUUUGAUCAUGAAAGAUAGGGAUGUAGAUUAGCAAAGAGAUGAUUUCGGAUCGAGAUGAAAUUUCAGUUUGUUGUUCAUGGAUAAUAGAUCAACAUAUUUAAUGGUGUCGAUUUCAAUUUAAGGUAAGUAGGAUAUAUAGAAUAUAUUUUCUAAACUCCGGAGUAUUUUUUUAAAUAUUUGAUUUUGUAUUUUUUUGAGCAUGUGUGCUACUUGUUGAAAUUUAUGGUAUUUUAUUGAAAUCAUGAUAUGCAUGAUAUUAUUGUAUGAUGGCUAAAUAUUAUAGAAUGGAUUGAUAUAUUAACUGAGUGAACUCGCCAAUAAGACCACUAAGGACCGAAAAAGUUAGAAGAGCUAGGAGAUGUGGGUGAGGCUGACCACUAGUAAUGUAUCAGGAAAAACCAAGUAUGAGGUCUUUCAUGAUUUGAUGAUUCAUUGAACUCUUCUAAAUUUGAUGUUGAGCCAUUAUUGAUUCGUUGAGCAUAUUCCCGUUGUAUUAUAUACUUCUUUACUUUAAAAUAAAUUUUCAGGCGGACGUGGGAGCUCGAAUAGUACGAGAUGGGUCGGAUGAAAUACUUGAAGAUUUUAUAUUUUGUAUUAAUUAUUUUUGAAGACAUUGUAAAAAUAAACAUUUGGAGACUAUUGAAUAUUUGAGAAAAAUAGUGAUCUGAUUUGUAUUUGAUAAAAAUAUAGUGAAAAUAAAUUAAUUAACAACCGAAAGGAUCAGGUCAUUACAUUAACAAACCAU